CGUGGCCCUAGGCAACGGUGACUGCGUCACACGCCCCUUCUGUUCCAGAGGCGCGGGGUUCCACGCGGAGGGCGCUGGGGAAGCGCCGCCGGGGGCUCUGGGGACCCGCGUGGGGCGCAGUCUAGGCGGAGGCCAGCGCAGAUGCCCAGUCACGAUUCCGUGAGCAUUCGCCCCCACCGACGACGUGAGAUUUCUGCUCUUUGGCGAUUGUCACUGAUUUCACCUGCGUUAAAAAGGCUGUCAGGAGAGUAGGCCCUGGGACUUCCCAAAGAAGGGACCAAGCUGUACUCCCCCUUCUUCUCUGACCUUUUCAUAAGGACCAAGAGUUGGACUGGCAACACAGUGAAAAGGGUGAACCAAAAGUCACCAAUUUACCUGUGAGAAUAAAGGUCCACAUCCAAAGCAAGUGUACAUAAAUUAACUGGUUAUUUAACAUGGCACUGAAUGAGCUGUAAAAGGUCAGAAGAAGCCAUCCUGAAGAAACAGCUAAAUAAGUCAUUAAAUUUCUUUAUAUAUCAUGAAAUUAAACACAAUAGUCACAAUACACUGUAUUUAAUCAUUCCUUUCUUUCAGAGCUAUUAGCUGCUUUCUCCUCCAUCAGCUCUCUGAAUGAUGUGCAUUUUAUUGAGGCAGAACAGUGUGGUGCUUGAAGCCAUGGUUAUGAGAGAAGUAAUAAGACAGAACUUUGGCAUUUGUUGCUUCAACAAUGUUUUCUAAAACCUAUCAUAGUUUG
rnacentral:lncRNA from 10 species